rnacentral:rRNA from 1 species
AAUGAACGUUGGCGGCGUGGAUUAGGCAUGCAAGUCGGACGCCCCGCAAGGGGCGUGGCGUAAGGGUGAGUAAGGCGACGGCAACCAACCCCGUGAUUGGGCAUAGCCGCGGGAAACUGCGGGUAAUACCCAGCGACGUUACCGGAGAGCAUUCCCCGGUAACCAUAGGUGUGAUUCCGGCACGGGACGGACCGUCGUGGUAUCAGCUAGCUGGCGGGGUAACGGCCCACCAGGGCUAUGACGCCUACCGGGCGUGCGAGCGUGGCCCGGCACACUGGGACUGAGACACUGCCCAGACUCCUACGGGAGGCUGCAGUCGAGAAUCUUCGGCAAUGGGCGCAAGCCUGACCGAGCGACGCCGCGUGGAGGACGAAGGCCCUCGGGUUGUAAACUCCUGUCGAGGGGGAACAAGGCGGCGCGAAGAGCGUCGCUUGAGUGAUCCCUGGAGGAAGCACGGGCUAAGUUCGUGCCAGCAGCCGCGGUAAGACGAACCGUGCGAACGUUAUUCGGAAUCACUGGGCUUAAAGCGCGUGUAGGCGGCCCGGCACGUCCGUCGCUGAAAUCCCCCGGCUCAACCGGGGAAGGGGCGGGGAUACGGCCGGGCUGGAGGGGGGUAGGGGGCGCCGGAACUCACGGUGGAGCGGUGAAAUGCGUUGAGAUCGUGAGGAACGCCCGUGGCGAAAGCGGGCGCCUGGACCCCACCUGACGCUGAGACGCGAAAGCCAGGGGAGCGGAACGGGAUUAAAUACCCCGGUAGUCCUGGCCCGUAAAACCAUGAGCACUUGGGUAGGGGGCUCGCCGAUGGGCUCCCUGCCCGCAGCGAAAGCGUGAAGUGCUCCGCCUGGGGAGUAUGGUCGCAAGGCUUGAAACUCAAAGGAAUUGACGGGGGGCUCACACAAGCGGUGGAGCAUGUGGCUUUAAUUCGAGGCUACGCGCAGAACCUUAUCCCGGGCUUGACAUGCCCGGAUUUAGCCGGGCGGAAAACGUCGGCGAGCCGCAAGGUACAACGUCACAGGUGCUGCAUGACUGUCGUCAGCUCGUGCCGUGAGGUGUUGGGUUAAGUCCCCUAACGAGCGAAACCCCUGUCCCUAGUUGCCAGCACGUCAUGUGGGGAACUCUAGGGAGACCGCCGGCGUCAAGCCGGAGGAAGGCGGGGAUGACGGUCAAGUCCUCAUGGCCCUUAUGCCCGGGGCUGCACACGUGCUACAAUGGGCCGGACAGAGCGUCGCCAGCGUGCAAACGCGAGCUAAUCGCAAAAACCGGCCCCCAGUUCGGAUCGCGGGCUGCAACCCGCCCGCGUGAAGCCGGAAUCGCUAGUAAUCGCGGAUCAGCAUCGCAACGGUGAAUGGUUCAUGAGCCUUGUACACACCGCCCGUCAAGCCACCAAAGCGGG